rnacentral:rRNA from 1 species
AAUACGGAGGGUGCAAGCGUUAAUCGGAAUUACUGGGCGUAAAGAGUGCGUAGGUGGUUGACUAAGUUAUCUGUGAAAUCCCUGGGCUUAACCUGGGCAGGUCAGAUGAUACUGGUUGACUCGAGUAUGGGAGAGGGUAGUGGAAUUUCCGGUGUAGCGGUGAAAUGCGUAGAGAUCGGAAGGAACACCAGUGGCGAAGGCGGCUACCUGGCCUAAUACUGACACUGAGGCACGAAAGCGUGGGGAGCAAACA